rnacentral:rRNA from 1 species
UACGUAGGUGGCAAGCGUUGUCCGGAUUUACUGGGCGUAAAGAGCGCGCAGGCGGUCGUUCAAGUCGCGUGUGAAAGCCCCCAGCUCAACUGGGGAAGUGCCUCCGAUACUGGUGGUCUCGAGGGAGAUAGGGGCGUGCGGAACUUCCGGUGGAGCGGUGAAAUGCGUAGAUAUCGGAAGGAACACCGGUGGCGAAAGCGGCGCGCUGGAUCUCUUCUGACGCUGAGGCGCGAAAGCCAGGGGAGCGAACGGG